rnacentral:rRNA from 1 species
AUUGAACGCUGGCGGCAUGCCUUACACAUGCAAGUCGAACGGCAGCACGGGGGCAACCCUGGUGGCGAGUGGUGAACGGGUGAGUAAUGCUUCGGAACGUGCCUAGUAGCGGGGGAUAACAUAUCGAAAGAUGUGCUAAUACCGCAUACGAUCUACGGAUGAAAGAGGGGGAUCGCAAGACCUCUCACUAUUAGAGCGGCCGAAGCCUGAUUAGCUAGUUGGUGGGGUAAAAGCCCACCAAGGCGACGAUCAGUAGCUGGUUUGAGAGAACGACCAGCCACACUGGGACUGAGACACGGCCCAGACUCCUACGGGAGGCAGCAGUGGGGAAUUUUGGACAAUGGGGGAACCCCUGAUCCAGCCAUGCCGCGUGGGUGAAGAAGGCCUUCGGGUUGUAAAGCUCUUUUGUCCGGAAAGAAAUCGCUUAGGUUAAUACCUUGAGUGGAUGACGGUACCGGAAGAAUAAGCACCGGCUAACUACGUGCCAGCCGCCGCCGUAA